AAAAAAAAAAAAGAAAAGAAUAAAAUUAAGAAAAAAUGUCUGCAUUAUACAAACUAAAUUCAUUGUUCAGCAGAACCGUUAAUAUAGUCUUGGCCCAAUUGCGAGAUCUCCUCUUUCUGCCUCUUGACACAUUAGUUUUGGUGACAACAACUCUCUUGCUGAAGCUGGUUCAACAGACCGUCUUCUUCUACGUCCAUCUGUAUAACGGAAUAUGCACUGCGCUACGAGACUCAGAGCAAACUGUGCAAAGUAUUUGGAGCUUGGCCAUACAACUGUCUGUAACGGUGUUAGAAGACUUGCUGCUCGUAGUGAGAGCAGAGUACGGGUACUUUAUCAGAAGCCUUUGAAAUUUUUGUGUUCUUCAUCGCAUUUGCUGUCCAUUAAACCAUUGAACUGUAUUUAAAUGCAAUAAUAAAACAAUAUUU
rnacentral:sRNA from 1 species